GGUCUGGGUGUCGUAGAACUCUGAUUAGAAUGAAGAACUGCACUUUGGAAUGCACCACCACUCAAGUCUUGGCCAAAACGUAAUGGUUGUUGCCGGUGGUUCAAGGCGACUGGCUCCACGAUGAUCUAGCUCCUCGUGGACUCUCAAGCCGAAGCCAAAGCCAGAGGAGAUCCAACCAACCAUCUUCCUCCUCCUGAGAGCAUGGCCAGUCGGUCUGAGGGCGGGGAGGUCCUCCGCCGUCCUUCUCUGAGGGCUCAAAUGCUCAGAGGUACACACAACACACACACAUACACAGCGGAGCGAGGAGCUGCCUGGAUUCGAGUCACUCUGGAGAGGCGGAGACCGAGACUCGGAUAUUUACAGACACACACACACACACACACAUAGAGAAUAAGGAAGAAGCGAGCAGAGAGGGGCAGAGUUCAGUUCGCCGGUCUUUGCAUUCACUUCAGAAUGGCGCGACUUGCCGGUAUAUGGGUGCUCCCAGGGAGGACUGGUCCUUUGGAACGAUCCUUAGCUUCAAAUGGAUUGUCCAUCUUUUCUCCGUGUCAAGUUGAUCUCGCCUCCUUCCUCCCUACCCGAGGACAUGGAAUCCGGUACACAACGGGCAAUCCUCCAAUGCCAGGGUAGUCCAGGUCCUCUUCCAGGGUCUGCUCCUUCGUUCUGCCCUUUCCAUCAUUUGGAUGCUUGGCCAAGCGGCACAGAAUGAGGACCAUAAUAAGGCAAGCGAUUGUGACUCGUGCGAGGUUGGAACUGUUCAAUGUUCGAAUUCUUCAGGUUUCAGAAAACGUUCAAAUUCUUGAUUUUCGACCCCUCCUGACCUUCCAGUCCAUCCACCCCCAAGACUUCAGAGGGAUAAAAAACGGGCGGAAGAACAACUGACAAGGAUAAAUCGGGACUCUGGGGGAACAAUUUGAAUACCCCGGAGGAAUUUUUAUAUCCUGUCACGCUAACGAGCAGAUCCCGCAACAGGUGGCCAAAUGAAAGUUGUGUUAUGUACCUAGACGAUAAUUCAUGAACUAUGAAUGAUUGAAAGACAUGAUCAAUGUUUCAAUUGUAUGAUAUAUCUACGUCUUUUUUUGCUUACAAUGGCUGACGUUGUUCCGACAUCAUUUUGAACUUACCUACUCCAUUUAAAAUCAGCCAACACAAACCCUUUCAAUUUUUCAUCUGUCAAUGGCCUAAUUUCGUUACUUCAAUUUUUUCCAUUUUUUUUGUUGUAAACAAAAAGGCAGAAUAUAUCGGUA